CUGCAUAUGGAUUUCUCAGGAGACAGCUUGAACAUUUGGAAUUUCUUGGUUCACAUGGUGUUGAAGCCUCACUUGAAGGAUUUAGAGCAUUACCUUGCUCAAAGCCUGGUAUCUAUCUAUCAUCAUACAUGUUGCUCACAAGAAGUCACAGUCGGGGAAUGAUUCCUGCUUUACAUGCAUAUAGGAGGAGAAGGUUUCUGAUUCGGGACGUCUGGCUGGGGCCAGAGACUCGCCCUGCCGGCAGCUGUGGGGGGCUGCUGACUCUGUGAUGGAUGAGGACACCCCUCUCAGGAGAGACGCACAAACAGCCCUGCCGGCCAUCCAGCUCUCUGUGCCACCCUGGCCUCACCGUGCUGAGCAGUGAGUGUCUAAACGCAUCCCAACAUCACUGGUGAGUGUCUAACAAGCC